rnacentral:rRNA from 1 species
CCUACGGGGGGCAGCAGUGAGGAAUAUUGGUCAAUGGACGCGAGUCUGAACCAGCCAAGUCGCGUGAAGGAUGACUGCCCUAUGGGUUGUAAACUUCUUUUAUAAAGGAAUAAAAUGAGGCACGUGUGCCUUUUUGCAUGUACUUUAUGAAUAAGGAUCGGCUAACUCCGUGCCAGCAGCCGCGGUAAUACGGAGGAUCCGAGCGUUAUCCGGAUUUAUUGGGUUUAAAGGGAGCGUAGAUGGGUUGUUAAGUCAGUUGUGAAAGUUUGCGGCUCAACCGUAAAAGUGCAAUUGAUACUGGCAGUCUUGAGUACUGUAGAGGUAGGCGGAAUUCGUGGUGUAGCGGUGAAAUGCUUAGAUAUCACGAAGAACCCCGAUUGCGAAGGCAGCAUACUAAACUGUAACUGACAUUGAUGCUCGAAAGUGUGGGUAUCAAACAGGAUUAGAUACCCUGGUAGUC